rnacentral:rRNA from 1 species
AGAGUUUGAUCAUGGCUCAGAACGAACGCUGGCGGCAGGCCUAACACAUGCAAGUCGAACGAAAAGCCACCUUCGGGUGGUGGACAGUGGCAGACGGGUGAGUAACGCGUGGGAACGUGCCUUUCGGUUCGGGAUAACCCAGGGAAACUUGGGCUAAUACCGGAUACGCCCUCCGGGGGAAAGAUUCGUUGCCGAAAGAUCGGCCCGCGUCGGAUUAGCUAGUUGGUGGGGUAAAAGCCUACCAAGGCGACGAUCCGUAGCUGGUCUGAGAGGAUGACCAGCCACACUGGGACUGAGACACGGCCCAGACUCCUACGGGAGGCAGCAGUGGGGAAUAUUGGACAAUGGGCGAAAGCCUGAUCCAGCCAUGCCGCGUGAAUGAUGAAGGCCUUAGGGUUGUAAAGUUCUUUCAACGGUGAAGAUAAUGACG